AAGUGUUCAUGUGACUCACACACGAUGUGUGUUUAUGUGUAACAAGUGAAUCAAGUGUUUAAGCUCCUCCUCACUGUCUUUAUAAGCCUCAGUGUUUCUUCUCCUCACACUCCCGCCCUGCUCACCUCUCAGCUGGACUGUAAGGAACUUUUACAGCUCACACUGACAACAUGCUGGGGAUCCUCUGCACUCUGCUCACUGCUCUCACAUAUGUUGAUGCAGCGAUAGUGCUGACUCAGACGCCUGCUGUCCACUCAGUUCCUACAGGACAAGAGGUUGUCCUCAACUGCAACAUUCAGAGAUAUGAUGGAUAUUAUGUGUCAUGGUAUAAACAGGUUCCUGGUGAAGCUCCUCAGUAUGUUCUCAGAUUUCUCCAUGGGAACAAUGCUCCAGACUUUGGAUCAGGAUUCUCUUCAGACCGGUUCAACUCUAAAUCCUCUUCAAGCACAGAAUACCAGUUCAUCAUAAAGCGUUCAGAGACAGGAGACUCUGCUCAGUAUUACUGUCGGACAUGGGAUGGCUCUGCUAGUGAAGCUGUAUCACAGUGGUUCACACUGUGACAAAAACCUCCAUCAGAGACCUACUGAAGAUUUAUUGAUUCUCAGCUAAAUCAGACACAUCAAAUGAGAGAAACUGCUUCAAAACAUUGAAGGACAACAAAUCAAUUCCUGUGAAGAGACAAUUCAGUCUGGAGCAAAUCAAACUGAUGAAGUUAGUGAGAUGUUGACAAUGAAAGUUGGUCUCAACAGGAUCUUUCAGUUCCACUCCGUCAUCAGAGCGAGUCGAGAGGUUUUUGUACAGCCAUGUGUA